CCAACUACCUUUUUUUCCGUCGCGGUUUGCCUACAGGGCAGCGCACCUGCAUUAAUUAGGCCUAUAUCCGUGAAUUGUCACAAUUUCUCAGAAUCAACCUUGAAAGUAGAAACGGGUGGCCAAAAGCUGUCAUAUUGUUAGAAAUGUGUGCUUUUGGCACAAAAAUAAAUAAAUGAUGUGUCCCAGAUCAUGAAUGAAUAGAUUAAAUAGAUUAAUAGACGUGACUCUCACAUAUUUCCGUGAGACUGGGUUGUUUCGGCUUCAGGGCGGUUGCCGCGCGGUGGUGUGAGAGCAGCUGAAAGUUUCAACACGGGGAAAGCUGAGCGGGCAUCGCUACGCUUCACCUGCUUGUAGAACUAACCGCCAUUCCACGUCGUUCACCCCUCUGCAAUUCGACUACUACAGUAGAUGCUUCGUAGUUGGAUUAUGGAUGCAAGCAGAGAUGACAUGGAGGAAGAGGAGGAGAGUGACGAGUUUCUGCUGCUUGAAGAAUACUGAAUACUGCGCUCGGCAGGAGAAGCUCAGGUUACGUCGUUCUGGCGUUGGCGUAGGCAAACAAAUACAUAGCAUCUGGCUGGCAUUCAAAAGGCACAGGCUUGAAACGAUCAUCAAUUUCAUCAGACUCAGUGCCGAUUGCAGAAGGUGAUCUGACUGUUGAUGACUCUAGUUCAGAGCCCCAACAAGAUUUGGUGGAGAAACUCGUGGUGUUGUUGAAAAAAGAAGGAGACGACAUGAAUCAGAAGAUCCAGCAGAACGAGGAGCUGCAGCAGCUGCUCCAGGGAGCCUUCAGCUACUCCCUGUUUCAGAGGUUGAUGGCCGCACUGCAGGGGGCCCCCCCGGCCUCUGAAGCGAGGCUGCGGAAGGAGCAGAUCGCCUGGGUCUUUGAGGUGACGGACAGGCUGUCGACCAUCGACCAGAUCCCCAAGAGGAGAGCGCUGAGCUUCGGCAGUCGCUUCCUCCGCCAGAACCACUCCGACUGGGUGCAGCAGCACGGAGGCUGGGAAGGAGUGCUUCCGGUUAAAGGUGAACAUGGCCUCACCUGUACGUCAACAGACCUGUCCUGAGAGCAACAACGUUCUCUCUGUUCCUACUCAAUCUUUUUAACAACAUGACCUUUUGUAAUUAUAGAGGCCAAUCUUUUAAAUGACCAUUUGUUAAAUUAUGUGUUCUCAUAAUGUUAUCUAAUUUGUUAAUAAUGUACCCCUAUAUUAUGUGUUUUACGACCUAUUUUUGUAUCCAACAUUAUUGUACACCGAUGUGAUCGGUUGUUUUGUUUUUGUUUCUGUAUAGAAGUGCAUUCUGGGUCAUUGACCGUUAGUUAAGACUUAGCACAUGCCAUGGCUGCUGAUGAUGUACCGAAUAUGAAAACGCAUCACAUUUGUACCUUACAGUUCUGAUUUAACCGUCUCAACAAGAAUAUUUUAGACCUGACUUAGAGGUGCUGUUUGUGUAUGUCAUGCAGAGUUUAUUAGUUUUAGAAAAAUUGAACCAAAAUUGUUUUUCCAUUAAUGUUUUGCAUUCUAUUCAUUUUUUUUAUUUUUUUUUAUUUUUUUUUUCAAUUGUAUUACAAAUAAUAAACAGCAGUGCUUUUUA